GGUAAGGUGACUGAAUUAAUAGGUGGUAAACUGUAAAUUUAUUUAUGAGUAAUAUUCUCUCUUACCA
rnacentral:tRNA from 1 species